AUUGAACGCUGGCGGCAUGCCUUACACAUGCAAGUCGAACGGUAACGCGGGGCAACCUGGCGACGAGUGGCGAACGGGUGAGUAAUGCAUCGGAACGUGCCUGGUAGUGGGGGAUAACUGCUCGAAAGAGCAGCUAAUACCGCACACGACCUGAGGGUGAAAGGGGGGGAUCGCAAGACCUCUCGCUAUCAGAGCGGCCGAUGUCGGAUUAGCUAGUUGGUGGGGUAAAGGCCCACCAAGGCGACGAUCCGUAGCUGGUCUGAGAGGACGACCAGCCACACUGGGACUGAGACACGGCCCAGACUCCUACGGGAGGCAGCAGUGGGGAAUUUUGGACAAUGGACGCAAGUCUGAUCCAGCCAUGCCGCGUGCGGGAAGAAGGCCUUCGGGUUGUAAACCGCUUUUGUCAGGGAAGAAAUCUUCUGGGUUAAUACCUCGGGAGGAUGACGGUACCUGAAGAAUAAGCACCGGCUAACUACGUGCCAGCCGCCGCAGUAACAC
rnacentral:rRNA from 1 species